rnacentral:rRNA from 1 species
CACGUAGGCGGCCUGGUAAGUCAGAUGUGAAAGCCCGGGGCUUAACCCCGGAAGUGCAUUUGAUACUGUCAGGCUUGAGUAUGGAAGAGGGAAGUGGAAUUCCUGGUGUAGAGGUGAAAUUCGUAGAUAUCAGGAGGAACACCGGUGGCGAAGGCGACUUCCUGGACCAAUACUGACGCUGAGGUGCGAAGGCGUGGGUAGCAAACA